UGGCUUAGACGGUAAAAGCGUCUGCCUGCAAUGCGGGAGACCUGGGUUCGAUCCCUG
rnacentral:tRNA from 1 species